GUCGAACGAUGAACCGGUUUCGGCCGGGGAUUAGUGGCGAACGGGUGAGUAACACGUGGGCAAUCUGCCCUGCACUCUGGGACAAGCCCUGGAAACGGGGUCUAAUACCGGAUACGACCUUCGAGCGCAUGCUUGAGGGUGGAAAGCUCCGGCGGUGCAGGAUGAGCCCGCGGCCUAUCAGCUUGUUGGUGGGGUGAUGGCCUACCAAGGCGACGACGGGUAGCCGGCCUGAGAGGGCGACCGGCCACACUGGGACUGAGACACGGCCCAGACUCCUACGGGAGGCAGCAGUGGGGAAUAUUGCACAAUGGGCGAAAGCCUGAUGCAGCGACGCCGCGUGAGGGAUGACGGCCUUCGGGUUGUAAACCUCUUUCAGCAGGGAAGAAGCGAAAGUGACGGUACCUGCAGAAGAAGCGCCGGCUAACUACGUGCCAGCAGCCGCGGUAAUACGUAGGGCGCAAGCGUUGUCCGGAAUUAUUGGGCGUAAAGAGCUCGUAGGCGGCUUGUCGCGUCGGAUGU
rnacentral:rRNA from 1 species